AGAUAGCCAAGGAACUGAGCAGAAGAGGUUUCAGAAUUUUAUGGAUUCCAUUAAGCAUGAAAUGUCAGUUGCAAAUGUUUCAUCUCUAAAGGGAUACCAUCUGGUAAAAAUGUUCUUUUUCUUUGCUAAAUGUUCUUUUUUUUUGGCUAAGUUGAUGUUCUUUUUUCUUUGCCUAAUGUUCUUUUCUCUUUUUGUAAUUGUUCUUUCCUGUUUUUUUUUUUUUGGCUAAGUUGAUGUUCUUUUUUCUUUGCCUAAUGUUCUUUUCUGUUUUUGUAGUUGUUCUUUCCUGUUUUUUUUUUGGCUAAGUUGAUGUUAUUUUUUCCUUGCCUAAUGUUCUUUUCUGUUUUUGUAGUUGUUCUUCCCUUUUUAAUUUUUUUUGGCUAAGUUGAUGUUCUUUUUUCUUUGCCUAAUGUUCUUUUCUGUUUUUGUAGUUGUUCUUUCCUGUUUGUUCUGGUGCACAUUUCUUCCUCAUUGUGAUAAACAAUAAAACAAAGAAAGUUGAAAUUCUUGACAAUCUCGAUCUACCGGAGGGAAUACCUUUUGAGAACAAAUAUGAACAGAAUCCCCAAAAGACUUUUGAAGCAUGGUUGAAGUUUUGUGAGCUGGAAGGGUAUCCAUUAAAAAACACACAAAUCAAGCAAUAUGAAAUCACAUUACCUUCAAUGACAUGGAAAAAUCGAGAAAACAAAGUCGACUGUGGGGUGUAUGCAAUGCGGCAUAUGGAGACAUAUAAAGGCAACCCGAAUUGGGAUUGUGGAUUUACAAACUGUGAAGAUGAUAAAAACUAUAUUCGGCAGCUAAGGAUACAUUAUGCAACACAAAUCUUAUCAAGCGCUCAGAACGAGAAGCAUGAGUUGAGAUAUCUGGCACUGAAACAAGCAAAUCAAGUAGAAUAGACAUUACUUUUGAAACAAUGGUUUGAUAUUGGAUGUUGGUUGUUGUUUAAAAACAAGCAUGAGUUGGUUGUGGUUUGGUUUAAAACAAUGGUUUGUUAUUGUUCUUUUGAAACAAUGGUUUGAUAGUGUUCCUUAGAAACAAUGGUUUGAUAGUAUCUGUGUUCUUUUAAUGUUGCUGAUUGUUCUUUUGAACUAGUAGUUUGUGAAUUGGUUUAGAAACAAUUGUUCUUUUGAA